AUCCAGCUGACGAGUCCCAAACAGGACGAACCGCGAGUCCUGGAU
rfam:Schistosoma curassoni strain Dakar, Senegal genome assembly, scaffold: SCTD_scaffold0002791